GCCGGUGUAGCUCAGCGGUAGAGCAGCUGUUUCGUAAACAGCAGGUCGAGGGUUCGAUUCCCCCCGCCGGCUCCA
rnacentral:tRNA from 1 species